rnacentral:rRNA from 1 species
GGCCUAACACAUGCAAGUCGAGCGGAAACGACACUAACAAUCCUUCGGGUGCGUUAAUGGGCGUCGAGCGGCGGACGGGUGAGUAAUGCCUAGGAAAUUGCCUUGAUGUGGGGGAUAACCAUUGGAAACGAUGGCUAAUACCGCAUAAUGCCUACGGGCCAAAGAGGGGGACCUUCGGGCCUCUCGCGUCAAGAUAUGCCUAGGUGGGAUUAGCUAGUUGGUGAGGUAAUGGCUCACCAAGGCGACGAUCCCUAGCUGGUCUGAGAGGAUGAUCAGCCACACUGGAACUGAGACACGGUCCAGACUCCUACGGGAGGCAGCAGUGGGGAAUAUUGCACAAUGGGCGAAAGCCUGAUGCAGCCAUGCCGCGUGUAUGAAGAAGGCCUUCGGGUUGUAAAGUACUUUCAGUUGUGAGGAAGGGGGUAGCGUUAAUAGCGCUAUCUCUUGACGUUAGCAACAGAAGAAGCACCGGCUAACUCCGUGCCAGCAGCCGCGGUAAUACGGAGGGUGCGAGCGUUAAUCGGAAUUACUGGGCGUAAAGCGCAUGCAGGUGGUUCAUUAAGUCAGAUGUGAAAGCCCGGGGCUCAACCUCGGAACUGCAUUUGAAACUGGUGAACUAGAGUACUGUAGAGGGGGGUAGAAUUUCAGGUGUAGCGGUGAAAUGCGUAGAGAUCUGAAGGAAUACCAGUGGCGAAGGCGGCCCCCUGGACAGAUACUGACACUCAGAUGCGAAAGCGUGGGGAGCAAACAGGAUUAGAUACC